rnacentral:rRNA from 1 species
GACGAACGCUGGCGGCGUGCCUAACACAUGCAAGUUGAGCGACGAACCAGGGCUUGCCCUGGGUCAAAGCAGCGAACGGGUGAGUAACACGUGGGUAACCUACCCCGAUAACCGGGACAACCCUAGGAAACUCGGGCUAAUACCGGAUGUGCUCACUGGACUUCGGUUCAGUGGGUAAAAGAGUCUUCGCGCUCCGUAUCGGGCUGGGCGCGCGGCACCUUAGUUGGUUGGUGGGGUAACGGCUCACCAAGGCCGGGAUGGGUAGCUGGUGUGGGAGGAGGAUAGGCCACACUAGGACUGGGACACGGACCAUAGGCCUACGGGAGGGAGCAGUGGGGAACCGGGCGCAAUGGGCGAAAGCGUGACGCAGCAACGGCGCGUGGGAGAAGAAGGCCUUGGGGUUGGAAUGCCCUCUCAGGGGGUACGAAGGGCCGGCGGUGAAGAGCCGGCCGGAGUGACGGUACCUCGACAAGAAGCCCCGGCUAACUACGUG